GGGGGGCUGGCGGCGGACGGACAUCUCGCCAACCCGGUCAGGUCCGGAAGGAAGCAGCCGCAACGAGCCCGGUUCGGGUCGGUGUCCAGUCCCCCACC
rnacentral:SRP_RNA from 1 species